rnacentral:rRNA from 1 species
GACAGAGGAUGCAAGCGUUAUCCGGAAUGAUUGGGCGUAAAGGCGUCUGUAGGUGGCUUUUUAAGUCCGCCGUCAAAAUCCCAGGGCUCAACCCUGGAACAGGCGGUGGAAACUACCAAGCUGGAGUACGGUAGGGGGCAGAAGGGGAAUUUCCGGGUGGAGCGGUGAAAUGCAUUGAGGAUCGGAAAGAAACACCACGGCGAAAGCACUCGUAGCUGGGCCGACACUGACACUGAGAAGACGAAAGCUAGGGGAGCAAUGG